UACGGGGGGGGCAAGCGUUGUUCGGAAUUACUGGGCGUAAAGGGCUCGUAGGUGGCCAACUAAGUCGGACGUGAAAUCCCUCAGCUUAACUGGGGAACUGCGUCCGAUACUGGAUGGCUUGAGUUUGGGAGAGGGAUGCGGAAUUCCAGGUGUAGCGGUGAAAUGCGUAGAUAUGUGGAGGAAUACCGAUGGCGAAGGCAGCCCCCUGGGAUAACACUGACGCUCAUGCACGAAAGCGUGGGGAGCAAACAGG
rnacentral:rRNA from 1 species